CGCAAACAAACAUCCAAUGAGCAGAUGUACAAAAAAUCAGA
rnacentral:misc_RNA from 1 species